AGGACCAAAAGUGCAGGCACAUCAUUUAUUGAUAAGACAAAAAGAAUGUAAUGAAAUUAUCAAUGUUCUUGAAUUAAUUAUGAACAUGAUUAAGAAAGCUAAAAUCUCAGGAGCCAGGACCUCAUUACCCAUUCAGUCUUAGGGAUUGCUUUCAUUCAGCAAGGCAAAAAGGAGUUGAGCGGCCACAAUCGCCUUCCUCUCAUUUAUUUGUGCUAGAAUUAAGGUUUAUUUGUUUUCUGUUUCCUUCGUCUUCAGAUUGUUUCUCUGUCUCCAUCCAUUUCACAAACCCCUUUCCUCCUGUAUCUCAGAAGGGAGCACCUCCAGGGCCUACAUUUCUGCAGCCCGCACACCUCCUUGAGUGUGUGUCUCUCAGUCUGCUGGAGCUUCUAAAUAUCUCUCAAGCUUUUACGUCCGUACAGAAAUAUGAUAACGGGGAAAUCAUUUUUGACUCCCUUGCUUUGGUGAUACAGCCGCAGACUCAAUGACCUAACAUCCAUCCCAAAGACAAAGCGAAGACCCGAGCAACACUGUCUUCAAGGUAAGAGGAAGGAGACCCUCUGGACACUGGCACAUGGGAGAAGCCAUCCCCCCAAUUUAUAAUGAAUGAACGUCGGAGUAAAUCUCUUCAUUAACCAGAUAGAGCUUUCACUCCCAGUGUGUUCCAGUGUUGGCAGAUUGAAAGGCAGUGACCUACAGAUGCAAGAAAAUCCCACAUGUCACAAUAAAGAGACCGGAAAAUAUUUCCAAGUGCACAGAUAGACUGGGGGAAAGUCCUUCAGAUCAGGGAUGCAGGGUUUAACAUAGAAUACACAUGGAAAUCUGAAAGCUAAAAUGAAGGUACUAGGAUCACAAGAAGCUAAGGGGUAUGGUUCAUCAGAGAACCUUCCUUUGCAUCGGAUGACAGUCAACAGAUGCACUCUCGAACGGUCAAAGUGCAGAACACACUUAACGGCGGAGUGCUCAGCCCUAACUAACGUCUGCAUUAGAUCUCUUCACUCCGAGACUCUGAGAACACCACAGAGGAGCCGCCAUCAUGGUUUGAAGAGACAGAGACAGUGGAGGGCUUGUGUGAGAGAGUGUCUUCUGGGCAUGAAAGGGCUCUUACAUCUGAGCUUUCAAGAUAGGAUUGCCCGAGUAGGAUGUGCACCAGAUUCCUCAAAGAUCAAAGAUGGGAGGGACUCCUGAGCUACCACCCUCUCUGGAGUACUAUUGGUGGUUCAUGAAUGCUGGCGUGACUGGAAUCAUUUCUCUUUGGAAGCACGGUCAUUGAUAGGUUUUCCACACUGUCAUGGAUUGCCCCAUGUCUAUGUGCAGGAAUCUACCUUUGUUUUUCUGCUUUAAAUAUUCAGUUUUCCAUAUGAAUGUCUCUGGGUUUUGGUUCCUCCGUAAUUCUUUCACUAGAGUUUUUGUUGUGGAGGGUUUCACUGCUUCAGUUACACUCAUUUCUACCUAUUUUACUGGGAUGAAUUUUACUGCUACUGCUGUUGUUUUUGUCCUUCCCCUCCCCAGAAGUGGGGACAGAACCUAUGGCUUUGAGAAUGCCAGACAUGCGCUGUGCCACUGGGCUUCACUCCAGCCUAUUUAUUAUUUGAUCAGGGGCUAUGGUGAAUUUUUUUUAAUUGUUAGUGUGUUCGUGGUAUAUAAAAUGUUUCUAUUUGUUGCUUGUGUUUCCUAUGACUACUGAGUUUUUCUCUUCCAACACAUUUUAGUCAGUCUUCUCUGUAUAUAAAAUCUUCCCGCAAAAGAGGUUGAUCUGACACCCUCUUUUCUGAUCGAAAAUCUUAUUAUUAUUUUAUUCCUUUCUUCUGAUGAAUUUUCUUACAAAAUUUCCUUUUUCUGUUCCAAAUAAGAGGCAAAUGUAUGUGGACAUCUUUUUUUUUUUCAGAUCUCAGAGGAAACACCUUCAUCUUCUUUCACUUAGCACACAGAAGCAGUGGCUUUAUCAUAUCUAGACCUUUGUGUAGUGAGGUAUCUUCCUCCUACACUUAAUCUCUUCUGGCUUUUUUUUUCAUAAAAGCAUGUUUAACUUCAAUGAAUACUUUUACUGCACCCACUAAUGAAAUUACUUCGAUCCUCUCCUUUGCUGUUGUGAUAUAUUUUGACUUUCCAUUUGUGCGUGUUAAGCCAUCCUUGUAUCUCUGGAAUAAACUCUAUUUAACAAGGUACAUUAUCUUUUUUAUGUGUUCAUUAGUCCAUUUCCCACUUAAAGGAGGAAUGGCUUAUUUGUUCCUGUGGUUUCACAUCAUUGUUGGUCCAUUGCGUUUUGGUUUACAAAAUAGAAACAUCGUGAUUAAAAGGCAUGAGGGCAAAGCAGAGCGGCUCUCUCACCUCACAGUAUCCAAGAAGAGGACAGAGAUAGGAAAAGGGUGAGGGAACAAGAUGCUCCCUUGAAGGGCACAGCCCAGUGACCAACUUCUAACCAGACCCACUUCCUAGGAUUUCUGCCACCUCAUAACAGCACUAAGAAUUAAGGAUAUUUUUAAUAUAUAAGCCUUGGGGGAAUAUUCGAUAUCUAAGCAUUAAUCAUGUGCCUUUUGCCAGUAUCACAUUUAACCCUGAUGUUUCUUUGUUGAAUUUUAAUCUUUAUGGCUUGUCCAUUUAUGAAAGUGGACACCAAUAUCUCGAACUCUCGCUGGUUUUGAAUCUACUUUCCCUUUUUAUCUAACAACACUUUCUUUACAUAGUGUGUGUGUGUGUGUGUGUGUGUGUCUGUGUGUGUGUGUGAUAUGUGAAUUUUUUCCUGGAACAGUGCAACAGUGCAAGCAAGUACUUAUUCAUCGCAGAUAAGGCAUAGCUAUAGACCGAAGUGUGAUUCCACUGUAGACUGAUGUGGAAGACGAGUGAGUUUAUGGGCUUUCACACAGAACAUGGGUAAGCUCGAGCCAGGAACACCAAUAGAGAACCUCAGACAGUGUGUGUGCACAAUGACUUUCACAUAGGCACACCAUGCCGUUCCCUUUCCACUUAACUUUACACAGUCUGUACUCUCACACCAUCCAAGGACUACAAGCCACUGGAACAGAUGUCAGUGGUGAGGGACACAGUGGCUUAGACCACAGGUGACUAUCUAUUUGGCCUUCUCCACUCUUCCUUUUAAGAUAGUGUCAACAGGUGCAAUCAUGAAAGUGUCUUAGAGGUGACCACAGCUGCUUCUGAUGAGGACAGUAAUGGCGACUAUGCUCAGGGUCAGCUUUCUACUAUGGCUUGGAAUGGUUCUUUCUUUGUAUUCAGUUGCUCCCUCUCACUUUAUAGAGUGGUCUCCUUUAUCUUGUGUUAGUAGGUCUUAUUUGACACACAAAAUUAAUAUAAAUCAUGAUAAACACUAAAGCCUA
rnacentral:sRNA from 1 species